rnacentral:rRNA from 1 species
AACGAACGCUGGCGGCAGGCCUAACACAUGCAAGUCGGACGAGGUUUUCGGACCUAGUGGCGGACGGGUGAGUAACGCGUGGGAACGUGCCCUUUGGUUCGGAAUAGCCCCGGGAAACUGGGAGUAAUACCGGAUAAGCCCUACGGGGGAAAGAUUUAUCGCCAAAGGAUCGGCCCGCGUUGGAUUAGGUAGUUGGUGGGGUAAUGGCCUACCAAGCCGACGAUCCAUAGCUGGUUUGAGAGGAUGAUCAGCCACACUGGGACUGAGACACGGCCCAGACUCCUACGGGAGGCAGCAGUGGGGAAUCUUAGACAAUGGGGGAAACCCUGAUCUAGCCAUGCCGCGUGAUCGAUGAAGGCCUUAGGAUUGUAAAAUUCUUUUACCAGGGACGAUAAUGACGGUACCUGGAGAAAAAGCCCCGGCUAACUUCGUGCCAGCCGCCGCGGUAAUAC